UUCCCGCAAAUUUUGUGCACGAGAUUUCUCGAACAUUUUUUGUAUGAUUGCUAUGAAACUUUCAGGGUAUGUAGAUGAUAUUAAUAUCUCUAGACGUUUUUUUCAAAUUUUUAAAAUUCACUUCCGGUUAUGAGUUAUUGCCCUUUAAUUGAAAAUUGGGGGGUCUUUUGUCCAGAGUUGAUCUCGGGAACUACAGAUGAUAGAUGCAUGAAAUUUGGCGAAAUUGUCGGUAACAUUUUAUAGUUUUGCUGGCAUGAAAAUUUUGGUAAUUUCUUUGUUAGUUUUUGAGCUAUUUGUCGCCAAAGUUUAAGAUUUUUUCGGGGCUGAAAUUUUGUUGCUUUUUGUAUUAUAACCUUUAAACUAAAGAUAUUUUGUUAAUACAUAUAGAACAAAAGUUGUUUAGAAUAACGAGAGCUUUCAUUUAAAAUUAAGAAAAAAGGGCUGGCCCCUAUAAUUAGGGGUCAGCAGCUCAUACACGUAUUUUUCUGAUAGCAAAAAUCGUUAUCAUUUUAUGAAAAAAAAUUAAUUCAGUUAUUGUUAAUAUAUUAAAUAAUGUCAUUUGGUAUCAAAUUUAAAAAGUUCUGUGCCCUAUUUUUUUCAAAUUUCAUAAAACAAAUAUGUGUGAAUCGUAACGUUACAUGAACGAGUUAAUUUGUCUACAUAGACACACAAGCGAACAAAUGCCACUUUAAGGCCCAGGCAUAUACUGCAUUACGUUGUGUUGCGUCUUAGAUAAAUAGUUGUGAUUCAAUUUCAUUUUUUUCAUCUAUAUCAUUUAUGAAUUCAAUGAACACACAUUAUUUUAACGUUCUAUGUGCAACUAUUUGUCGGGGCGCCCCUGUUUGUAACCCCCGCGCGCGCGCCGAAUGUAAACAGUAACGAACGGCAUUGUAGAAAAGAGAGAGCCGUAAUGCAGAAGAGAAGUUGUGUAUUCUUUCGACGUACAAAUGCAUUUUCAAUUUACUGUGAAACAUAUGAACAUGCACAGGGAACAAUACUACAUAUUUGUUUAAGGAGGAUAUUUUUCUCGUGUGAAUCGUUUACGAGGAAAUUCUGACAGCCACACUUCUGUCGACGAUCAGCCGUUGAUAAGCUACGAGUAAUAAAGGGGAAAAGAUGGACAUUAAAGUGUGUGAUUUAUGUGGAUGUUACUGAAGAAGCUCAAAACAGACUCUUGUUACCACAUGGCUUUUACCGGUACCUGUUGAUUCUUGUGGGUCAGCUCCUGAGAUUAACCUGUCACCUCUAUCCACAUGCAUAUUCCUUGUGUUCUACAGACUAUUUACCGGUAAUUCAAAUUAAAUCCGAUGAUGCAUAAACAAUAAUGGAACUUGAAGAAAGCAUCAUGCCAUGUUGUGGUUUGUGUUUGAUAAGAAAUUAUGAAAACAAAAUUAAGGCUGUUUAUAAAGAAAUUCAUAAUUGCUGUGAAAAUUUGUUUUUCAAUAAAAGUAUGCAAUUAUG